rnacentral:rRNA from 1 species
AAACUUAAAUGAAUUGACGGGACCCGCACAAGCAGAGGAGCGCGUGGUUUAAUUCGACGGCAAUCGAAGAACCUUACCAGGGUUUGAAAUGUAUCUGCAUGCCCUAUGAAAAUAGGGAUGCCUUCGAGGGUGAUACACAGGUGCUGCAUGGCCGCCGUCAGCUCGUGUCGUGAGAUGUAGGGUUAAGUCCCGAAACGAGCGCAACCCCUAUUCUAUGUUACAAGUGUCUUAGAAAACCGCCUCGGUAAAACGAGGAGGAAGGUGGGGAUGACGUCUGGUCCGCAUAGCCCUUAUGUCCUGGGCUACACACGCGCUACAAUGGCCGAUACAGUAGGAAGCCAAAUCGUAAGAUGGAGCUAAUCCUUAAAGUCGGUCUCAGUUCGGAUUGAGGUCUGAAAUUCGACCUCAUGAAGUUGGAUUUGCUAGUAAUCGUAGAUCAGCAAUGCUACGGUGAAUACGUUCUCGGGCCUU